UACGAGUGCCUCAAGCGUUAUCCGGAAUCAUUGGGCGUAAAGGGUGCGUAGGUGGUCGUGUUAGUCUUUUGUUAAAUUCUUCGGCUUAACCGGGGGCAUGCAAAAGAUACGGCACGACUCGAGGAUGCGAGGGGUCUCUGGAACUCUAGGUGUAGCGGUGAAAUGCGUUGAUAUCUAGGGGAACACCAAAAGCGAAGGCAAGAGACUGGAGCAUUCCUGACACUGAAGCACGAAAGCGUGGGUAGCGAAUGGG
rnacentral:rRNA from 1 species